GUCAGCCUGUUGGUGUCUAGGAUGCAGGUCAUAGGAUUUGAAGCAGACAUUUCCUAUAAGAAAGAUAAAGGUUCUAGUUAGAUUUUGUAAUUGGAGAAAUGGAAACCUUCGAGAUUUAGGGUUGCUAGUGGGUGUUGUGGUCCCACCGAUUGGCACACCACCUCACCUAACAAUUAUUGAUAAUAUGUUAGCCGAUAGAUG
rnacentral:lncRNA from 1 species